rnacentral:rRNA from 1 species
AAAUUGAAGAGUUUGAUCAUGGCUCAGAUUGAACGCUGGCGGCAGGCCUAACACAUGCAAGUCGAACGGUAACAGGAAGCAGCUUGCUGCUUCGCUGACGAGUGGCGGACGGGUGAGUAAUGUCUGGGAAACUGCCUGAUGGAGGGGGAUAACUACUGGAAACGGUGGCUAAUACCGCAUAACGUCGCAAGACCAAAGAGGGGGACCUUCGGGCCUCUUGCCAUCAGAUGUGCCCAGAUGGGAUUAGCUUGUUGGUGAGGUAACGGCUCACCAAGGCGACGAUCCCUAGCUGGUCUGAGAGGAUGGCCAGCCACACUGGAACUGAGACACGGUCCAGACUCCUACGGGAGGCAGCAGUGGGGAAUAUUGCACAAUGGGCGCAAGCCUGAUGCAGCCAUGCCGCGUGUAUGAAGAAGGCCUUCGGGUUGUAAAGUACUUUCAGCGGGGAGGAAGGUGUUGUGGUUAAUAACC